rnacentral:rRNA from 1 species
GAGUUUGAUCCUGGCUCAGGACGAACGCUGGCGGCGCGCCUAACACAUGCAAGUCGAACGAGCAAAGAGGAGCUUGCUCCUCUGAGCGAGUGGCGAACGGGUGAGUAACGCGUGAGGUACCUGCCUCAAAGAGGGGGACAACAGUUGGAAACGACUGCUAAUACCGCAUAAGCCCACGGGUCGGCAUCGACCAGAGGGAAAAGGAGCAAUCCGCUUUGAGAUGGCCUCGCGUCCGAUUAGCUAGUUGGUGAGGUAACGGCCCACCAAGGCGACGAUCGGUAGCCGGACUGAGAGGUUGAACGGCCACAUUGGGACUGAGACACGGCCCAGACUCCUACGGGAGGCAGCAGUGGGGAAUAUUGCACAAUGGGGGAAACCCUGAUGCAGCGACGCCGCGUGGAGGAAGAAGGCCUUCGGAUUGUAAACUCCUGUUGUUGAGGAAGAUAAUGACGGUACUCAACAAGGAAGUGACGGCUAACUACGUGCCAGCAGCCGCGGUAAAACGUAGGUCACAAGCGUUGUCCGGAAUUACUGGGUGUAAAGGGAGCGCAGGCGGGAAGACAAGUUGGAAGUGAAAUCCAUGGGCUCAACCCAUGAACUGCUUUCAAAACUGUUUUUCUUGAGUAGUGCAGAGGUAGGCGGAAUUCCCGGUGUAGCGGUGGAAUGCGUAGAUAUCGGGAGGAACACCAGUGGCGAAGGCGGCCUACUGGGCACCAACUGACGCUGAGGCUCGAAAGUGUGGGUAGCAAACAGGAUUAGAUACCCUGGUAGUCCACACCGUAAACGAUGAUUACUAGGUGUUGGAGGAUUGACCCCUUCAGUGCCGCAGUUAACACAAUAAGUAAUCCACCUGGGGAGUACGACCGCAAGGUUGAAACUCAAAGGAAUUGACGGGGGCCCGCACAAGCAGUGGAGUAUGUGGUUUAAUUCGACGCAACGCGAAGAACCUUACCAAGUCUUGACAUCCUGCGACGGACAUAGAAAUAUGUCUUUCCUUCGGGACGCAGAGACAGGUGGUGCAUGGUUGUCGUCAGCUCGUGUCGUGAGAUGUUGGGUUAAGUCCCGCAACGAGCGCAACGCUUAUGGUCAGUUACUACGCAAGAGGACUCUGGCCAGACUGCCGUUGACAAAACGGAGAAAGGUGGGGAUGACGUCAAAUCAUCAUGCCCUUUAUGACUUGGGCUACACACGUACUACAAUGGCGUUAAACAAAGAGAAGCAAGACCGCGAGGUGGAGCAAAACUCAGAAACAACGUCCCAGUUCGGACUGCAGGCUGCAACUCGCCUGCACGAAGUCGGAAUUGCUAGUAAUCGUGGAUCAGCAUGCCACGGUGAAUACGUUCCCGGGCCUUGUACACACCGCCCGUC